rnacentral:lncRNA from 1 species
GUGAACGUAAGUGCCGCUCUGGCGCUCGCACUUCAGCUUAUUUUGACUCGGCGGCUGGAGUCUCCGCGAAGUGGAUAUCGCGAGCAGCUACGAACGAAGGUGGAUUUGAGAGAUAGGGCCAUAAAUGUAAAGCCUAUCUGGCAAGUAGUUUAUGUUCCGUA